UCAGUGUCUAGCCACUACAUUGGUGGAUAUGUUUUCUCCACUCAGCAAUCUUUUUGGGAGAGCCAGUGUGGACGGGAGAGAGUCCAGAGAGAGGAGGAAGGAUGCUGGCCUUCCAUUUGAGAGUAAUGAAGGACGAAGGAGGUGGACUUGGAGAAUGUGGAGGGCUCACAGACAGACAUCAUCCACUGCACCUGACCUAAUCGAGAAUGAGUUAGAAAAGGAAAAGGAGAGGCUGACAACAGAGCUGCACCUCAUGACCCAGAAGAGAAAUGAGCAGAGAGCUUGCCUGAUCGCUUUCAAAGAGGGAUCAAUGAACAAGAG
ensembl:lincRNA